GUAAGCUUCUGCUUCUUCAAUUCCGCAAUGUGUGUGCCUUGCCUGCGAUGCAGAGCUCGCCUGUACUUGCUUGCUCUCGAACUGCUCGACAGCCUUCUGACGUUCUGUUCUUGAUGUUUUUCCUUCUGUUCGUUUUUGCUUCUUCCAGCAGCAGGGAAAGAGAAGAGAGCCCGAGACCAUGGGGCCGCCCCGACGGACAAGAAUGCCAAUGGAGGCAACAGCAGCUCUGAGUUUGGUGGUGAUCGCACUUGCGUUCGCUGCACAGGUCGAGGCGUCGCCUUACGAGUACAAGUCUCCACCCCCGCCUGUUUACGAGACUCCUGCUCCAGUCUACAAGUACAAAUCUCCGCCCCCUCCACCACCGGUUUACAAGUACGCUUCUCCUCCCCCACCUGUUUAUCACGCUCCUGCUCCUGUCUACAAAUACAAAUCCCCACCUCCGCCUGUCUACCACUACAGCUCCCCACCACCACCAG
rnacentral:lncRNA from 1 species